CGUGACGCCACGCCAGGGAGAUUCCUCUGGACACGGGAGUUCGGUUAAACUUGAGGAAAUAUUUAAAAAGAGAUGAGGAGAGCCAAAAUAACGUGACGUAUGGGACCGGGAAGACGGUUAAAAAACAAAGGAAAACAACAUGCAGGACAAAUUGAAGAUCAGCAAGGGGCAGGUAACCAUAUUUAGGCCUAAUGUCUAACUUCUUGGUGCAUCAUUAUUUAGUUUAUUCUUUCAUUGAAUUUCUUUUAAAACUUGUCAAGUAUUAUGACACUAAUUGACUAACUCAUCAAGUUUAUUCCCCCGGUUUCCGGUUUCAAUGAGCCGACGUACACAUGGGUAUCAUGUGACGUCACAGCGUAAAGCCGGCGCCAUCUUUAGGACCGCCCAGUGACCGAAAGUAAACGGUAAAAAUGCCUUCUAUCUGCUGUGGGGCUGUGAUAACAGUCAGUCAAAAAAACGGGACAUACGUUUUAUAACAUUCCCAAAAACACAGAAAGGAGACAUAAGUGGUUAGCUGCCAUUAAAAGGGAUCACUGGACUCCGACAGAACACUCCAGGCUGUGCAAUGAACACUUCAUUUCGGGUCAGAAGAGUGAGAAUCCAUUGCACCCACAAGUUUGUUUGAUUAUCUCACACCUGAGCAACGCAAAAGAAAAAGAAAUAGCUACAGAAAAUUUGAGCAAAUCCAAGCUGUCAAAAGAAAGAAAAGGACGCAUGAUGUUGGACCUGUGGCACCCUGUGAUGACACCUCAGCUCAGGAGGGUAGAGGUCAGACAGCUGAUCACAACUACUGUAACUCCACAGUCGAUGCUGAGAGCAGUGUACCAUGCUCCAAUGAAGCCUGCCAAGAAACUGUGAGGAAACUGACAGAAGUGUGUACUGCACUGAGGUCAGAGGUUUAUCAGCUCAGGGAAAAGGUUAGCAAGUUAUCCUUCAGCCAGGAAACCUUCAAGGACAAUGAUGACAUGGUGCAGGACUUAACUGGACUUCCAUCCUUUGCCAAGCUGAUGGUUGUCUUCACUUUUGUGUCAGAGUUCCUCAAGGUGGGACCUGGACUGUCUCCCUUUCAAAGCUUUUUAAUGACUCUAAUGAGACUGAAUUUACCACUGCACUUUGUUUCAUUUAUAUUUCAUCUGUCAAAGCCUACUGCGGGCCGAAUUUUUAACAGUACAUUAAAUGUCCUGCAUGAUAGGUUGUCUAGAUGCAUACUGUGGCCCAGUAAGGAACAGAUUCAAAUUAGUUUACCCAUGUGUUUCAAAAAUAGUAGUUACAGAAAUUGUACAUCCAUAAUUGACUACUUUGAAAUUUUCAUUGAAAGACCUAAAAACCUAAGAGCCCGAGCACAAACAUAUUCACAAUACAAGCACCACAAUACUGCAAAGUAUUUGAUAUCAAUAACUCCACAGGGAGUCAUAUCGUUUGUGUCUCGUGCAGAGUUCCCGUUGUCCGGUAAUUACCGGUCUUUGACCGGAAAAAAAUGAGGAGGACCGAAAAUUCUAAAUGUCU